UACGGAGGGUGCAAGCGUUAUCCGGAUUUACUGGGUUUAAAGGGUGCGUAGGCGGGCUUUUAAGUCAGUGGUGAAAUCUCCGGGCUCAACCCGGAAAUUGCCAUUGAUACUAUUAGUCUUGAAUUAAGUUGAGGUGGGCGGAAUGUGUCAUGUAGCGGUGAAAUGCUUAGAUAUGACACAGAACACCGAUUGCGAAGGCAGCUCGCUAAACUUAUAUUGACGCUGAGGCACGAAAGCGUGGGGAUCAAACAGG
rnacentral:rRNA from 1 species